rnacentral:rRNA from 1 species
UGGAGAACUGAGGGGGGCUGCUCCUAGUACGAGAGGACCGGAGUGGACGCAUCACUGGUGUUCGGGUUGUCAUGCCAAUGGCACUGCCCGGUAGCUAAAUGCGGAAGAGAUAAGUGCUGAAAGCAUCUAAGCACGAAACUUGCCCCGAGAUGAGUUCUCCCUGACUCCUUGAGAGUCCUGAAGGAACGUUGAAGACGACGACGUUGAUAGGCCGGAUGUGUAAGCGCAGCGAUGCGUUGAGCUAACCGGUACUAAUGAACCGUGAGGCUUAACCUU